rnacentral:rRNA from 1 species
UGGGGAAUAUUGCACAAUGGGCGCAAGCCUGAUGCAGCCAUGCCGCGUGUAUGAAGAAGGCCUUCGGGUUGUAAAGUACUUUCAGUCGGGAGGAAGGUGGUAAGGUUAAUAACCUUAUCAAUUGACGUUACCGACAGAAGAAGCACCGGCUAACUCCGUGCCAGCAGCCGCGGUAAUACGGAGGGUGCAAGCGUUAAUCGGAAUUACUGGGCGUAAAGCGCACGCAGGCGGUUGAUUGAGUCAGAUGUGAAAUCCCCGGGCUUAACCCGGGAAUUGCAUCUGAUACUGGUCAGCUAGAGUCUUGUAGAGGGGGGUAGAAUUCCAUGUGUAUCGGUGAAAUGCGUAGAGAUGUGGAGGAAUACCGGUGGCGAAGGCGGCCCCCUGGACGAAGACUGACGCUCAGGUGCGAAAGCGUGGGGAGCAAACAGG